GUUGAAACCUCCGGGAAUCGAACGCGGAACGUCCGCUCCUCUUGCGGAGCCCUCCAAUCCCCUAGUACGAUCGAGCAGUCCCCGUUCCAAAUGGCAUGGAAACAAGGGUAGAAAAUCAAGUCUGCACAGCAACAAGCGCCAUGAUUGCGUUGCACUCUGCGUCUCAGGCGCUGAAAGAUGGAGCGCCGUGAGGAGGAUGUCACCGGCAGGUCGCCAGUUUACGCAGGCUUUGCAGGAAAUGAUUAGAGUGCGUUUUGGAAACCAGCAGAAAGCCCUGCUUGAGCUCGCUGUUUAAGACGUCCCACGAUGCUGUUAAAUGUUUGCAGAUAGACUACUCGAUGUGCAGAGAUGCGGUACUUUUGAAAUAAAGUCUCACCGAGAUGUUCCCCUCGGCAGAUCACGCAACCAUCGGUAUCUUGAUAUAUUUUAAGUCAGAAACUCAUCCUUAGAAGAUGGAGACUGACAAGUUUUGCAUUUCCUAAGACUAGCAGCAAGGGGAGAAAAACGCUUAUGAAGAGCUCUUAGGGUUUGGGAACUGACGCGGCGCUGUGCAUGUCCCGAUUGGAGUCACUGGAAUCCAACAAGAAGAAAGCUUUACGGAGACGCCAAAAAGCAGCGCCAUCCAGAUGCCGGCCACAUCGAUGUCCACGCUGGGCCUACUGCCAUGAAAAUCCACGGCACCAAUGCCUCUGCAGAGGCCUGCACACCACCGCUUGGCGUUCCAGUGUGGCACUGAUUAUUCUGCUGAGGAUGGAUUUGCAAGGUGAGGAUAAUACAUAUACACACUAGUCGUGAAUUUACAUAAUCACGCAACACAAAUGACAUUCUUCAGGAAAUACCAACUUAUGACCGAACUUCCUUGACAGUUAAACAUUUUAAAUCCAAAGCAUGCAAAUGGCUCAUAAAGUGAGAUGACCACAAGUCGCAGAACGGCACCAACAUGAUCAGACUGCUUACGAGUGGGAGAUGACAGAGGAAGGGCCCAGCUUUGCAAGAGUAAACUCCGCAAAGAAAGCACAGAAAGCACUUAACACAGCUUACACACACAGAGAAAGAAAUAAGCCUCCAAAUAAAUGUACAGUAAAAAAAAAAAAAACAUUUAGUCGGAAAGUAAAUCACCUUUUCAUUUUCUCAUUUAAAAGCUUAUUUUAUUUGCAGGUGUCCAGCUAGUUUUUCAGUUUCACCCAAUGUCUCCAGAAAUGUAAUUCACUGUUUAUGUCAUUCCAAAAUGUUAAUGAAAAUGAAAGCCCAAAUUUGUGAAUCAAUUGUUUAUUAUGACAGCACAGAUCAGUACAAAAAUGCACAUUUAAAUACAGUUUACAUUACAGGUAUAAAGCAUGUAUAGCCCAGUAGAUAAUAUAUAAUAGUUUAAAAGUCAGCUUAAAUUACUGAAUUGUGAAACUUUUGUAGAGAAUAGCAAACAUCAGCAAGUGUUAAUUUUGCUACUCUAUGCAGAAACUGCAAUCAAAUGACAGCAACAGAAAUGUAUUUACCUUAAGCAAACCGACAGCAGCACUUUCUUGCCAUCACCUCACCCCGUCCUGCUGAUCCCUGUAACGUGUAAGACUCCUGAUCUCAGCCCAGCAGCCCUCAGCGGAGACGACAGUGACAACGUUGAGGCAGCAGCUGAUGGAUCGGCUGGCUUCACUUCAGCAGCACGAUCAAUACUGGAGGCAUCAGAAGUGGUUUAACUCCAAUAUUUACGUGCUGCUAGAGCGAGGCGGCCAGUGUGUAUGUGUGUGGGGUGCUGGUGGGGGGGUAGGGAGGGGGGUGACGACAUCCCCAGUCUCUCUCUCCUGGGCCUGGUCCACUUAUGUGCUGCUUGUCAGCUUGCAGUCUUAUUUCCCGCAACCUGCUUGCCAGGGCCUGUCUGCCCGGUGUUAUUGCUGCAGCACAGCAUGGCCUGCAUCCCCGUAUGACCCACAAACCAUUCUGUGCUGCUACAGCACCGCCAGGCCUGGCCCAUGCACUUCCCUCUUCUCUCCCGCUCUCCCUUUCGUCGUCUCCUCUUAGUCUUUCUCUUGCCCCCCCCCCCCCCCCCCACAGGCACGCGCGUGCUCGCUCACUUGCUCUCUCUCUCUUGCUCGCUCUGUCACACACAUACGCACACCAGAAGCCAGGGUCUGACGACAUCUGAAAUACAAGAACAAGAAUGACAUGAAUGAGCACAACCUCUACAUGAAAAAUAAACAUAAACUUCACAUUUGUACCAGUUGGUUAAAUAAACUGCUCCUGCUGCUCAUUAUGUAGCAAAGCCGGUACAUCCUGCAAUGCAGCACAUCACCACAUCCCAAUUACAUUUUAGCCAACGUAUUAUAAUUCCUAAACCAUAUUUUUAACAUUUUAAUUCAGUAUUAGCUUUACCAAGUCAAAAUGGGACAUUUCAACUUUAAAACUAUAUUUAAAAUAUAGGUAAUAUAAGUUUAGACAACAGUGAAAGCAACCACAGAAUUGCACGAAUAAAAAGGUUAUACACCAGCCUAUACAGAACAAUUAUGCAUUAAAAUAAACGAAUGAGAGCUAUCUAUUAUAGCAAUCAUUUGACAGAAAAUUGUAGAAAACCAACUUUAGCACACCAAUUACAACCGUUAGUGUUGCAAGCAUGUACAUACUUUACUGGUUAUGCAACAAAGCUAUUGACUGAGCUGCUGCUUAGUGUCAGCCAACAUCCUUGCCUAUGUUAAGGACUCCAACUCAUCCAAAACUGUUCCCUGAACCAAUUCCCAUCCUGACAAAAAUACAUAGACACACCCCUUUGUGUGCACACUCCCAGCCAACCCCGCUGCAUGCUGGCUAAAGACAAUGAAACAGAGGAUGGCCAAUGCCUUUGGUAUAAUGAAUGGUUAUUGUAACAUGAGAAUCUGCAAUUAGUGCCAUCCACUAGGCAGACGCAGUGGAAGCUGAUACAAUCCAAACUACCUAUCUAGCAAAACUGUUAUGAGGUUAGACCCAAAUCAUGCUUACGAAAUGAAACCUAAUGCAUCAGAACCCUCAUCUCUGUUCAAAUACAAUAAGCGCAAUUUUAAUUUGCCCAAAUAAUGCAGAAAUUUAAGUAAAAGAUUCUGCCAAGAGGCUGCAAGUAUUUUGGUUCAAAAUAACUAGGCACAAGUUGAAAAAUAUUUCACACCCUCGGUGGAAGCACCUUUACACAGAAUAAGGUAUUUUAAUGUAUUUAGCUAAAGCCCAAAAAUAAGAAACACUCUUGUUCAUUCCUAAAAGCAUAAAAAUAAGCAACUAAAAUUGGGUAGCCACUGAAACCUGGCUUCUGUUAAAAAGUAUUUCAUUUCCAAGUCAUUAAAGAAAAGCUUACGAGGCUCAAGUAAAUUGAGUCUGCCAGGAAAUUCUGUAUAACCUACUAGUCAGAGGUUUUACUUUUUGUUUAAUCACUGUAGAACUGAUUGCCUCAAAUUAACAGCUAAAACUCUGCAAUGUCUUGUGCAAUGUCAGUUCUCAGAUGGGAAUUUACAAACACCAAUUGUAGGAUCUCAAAACUGUAAGAAAUGCAUUUAUAGUCAUGCUCACCACAUGCUAUGAAUAUGUAGACAGUAGCACCUGCUACAUGCAUAGAAGUUUGUAUUUUGUCCUAUAUGGUAAGUGACCAUUCAAAAGUGUUAUAUGUUAGAUAUUUUAGAUCCUAAGAGGCACAACUCAACUAAAAAUAGGGGUAAGAAAUUCAAAUUUAUAAUUUACAUAACUAAUUUAGGUGAAACACAGCUGACAGGUAAAGAAAGCCAGCACCCAAAUGGAUUCACCAAGGUUAAUUUGAUCUCAGGAACAAUUGGAUUCCCCAUCCCUUUGCAAUACAAGCCAUUCAAACUACUUUAAAAUGUUCAAAAAGUUCUUGUUUUUGAGAAUAAGAACCUCCAUUUUCACAUAAUCAGUAAAAAUGAACCUUGUGAGUGGGGCAGCAAACUACAGGACAAAUGACCAACCACAAUAAUGAACAUAAUGCAUAGACACAGGGAAAAUACAAGUAACGGAACACAUGUGUAAGUAUAUUUGAUAUGAUCAGCUGUCAGUGUGUUGGACUGUCAUAAGGUGUAAAGCAUUUAUUAGGUCCAGAUGUUACCAUAGGACUUAUAAAAUUACAGCAGAUCUCAGAGUCAUAAAAAUCUGUUAUAAGCUGCCAUGUCUCCAUGACAUUUCUCUUAAACGUAGUGCAUUUAGCUAACAAAACAUUUUUUCCCCAGUUUGUUAAAAACCAACCAGAAAAGGGAGGAAGGGAUUCUCUAUGACGACUCAAUAUUUAUCAGGUAUCAUCUACAAUGAACAAGGUCCUGUGCUAGACAGACAAAAAGGGUAUGUUAGGGGGUGAAGCUGGAUCCACAGUUUCAUCAGGUCUAGGCUAGAUAGUGCUUCAUAAAGCAUCACAUAAAAAGGCUUGAAAACAAAAAUCGUUACACUGCUUCAAGAAAGUCCUCUCAGAAUACUGUCAAGUUAAUUAAAUGAAUGAAUCUAUGGGAAAGACAAAAAGGUCACAUUUCAAAAUGUCUGCAGGAGUGCAAACAAACUAUAAUCAACCCACAAGCAGCGAGGGGAAGACGUUGUUUUAAUCCUAUAGACAAAACAGAAAUGUACUGAAAUUUUGCAGAAUGCCAAUUUAAUCCCAUAUUGAAACUGUAAUCCCAUAUUGAAACUUGAUAUUGUACAAAAAACUGAAACCAAGCGCUUAACAAAUGUUAAACUUUAUAAGUGCACAUUUAUCCUUUUGUAAAACCUGACUGCAUCUGAUUCAAUACCACAGUGAAACAUAGUAGACAGAUGCAGAAUUUACAAGUGAUUUGACAUCUGACCUUGAUUUAUUUGAAUGCUGGUUACAGAAAUCUUGCUAUAGGUAUUAGAACCACCACUGCAAGCCGGAAACAACUAAAUUAGGAGAGGUAAAUUAGACCUAGUUUUCUUACAUGCGCAUCUAAAUUUCAACCCAAUAAGCAAUUACUAAUGAAACCAAAAUUUGUUAAACAAUAUGCCAAUACAGUAACAGUGAUAUCCGUGAUAUGCCAAUGACAGCCAAAUGAGAACACAUACACCCCCUAAUCAAAAUGCUUAAAGCUUUUUCAAAACUACUACACUGCAAAUCAUAGUUCCUUUAAAAAACACUGACAAAAACAAAAUUAAAUGGAGGCUUUUACUUGUAAUCAUGUUUAAAAACAAAAAGAAAUGCAUUUACAAAGUACUUACACUUGAUAUCCACCGCAUUAAACAAAACACAAAAAAACAAAAUCAACCAGAUACAUUAAAAUAUGUAUAAAUUGCAAACAAAUAUUUUUCAUGCCUUAUUUAAAUCUUUAAAUCUAUACUAUGCUGACCAUGAGGGCCCAAUGUCCAUUUUAUGUGAAAGAAUGCACAGAAUGGCUAUUUAGACCAAGUGGAGAGGUAGAAGGGUGUGUUUCUUGUAAUUACUACUGGGCUGUGUUUCUAAAAAUACAUUUUCUCCCCUAUAGAAAGAAAAAAAAAAUUCUUACGUGUGGGUGUCAGGCCUACAUACAUAUACACAAACACACACACACACACGCACGAAGAGCUACCUUUACAUUUGCUCAUAAAACUCACACACUGAAGCACACUUCCUCCUGCACUGUAGCCAUGUCAUACAAAUCAAACAACCGUCGAAAUGAUAUAAUUACACAUCUGGAAAACUGAAACAAUCACAAAACACUACUUUGCUCCUAUGCCCCUCCCCCACAAAACACACACACACACAAAAAGGGUUUAGGCAUAAAAUCACAAAUCACACUGACAAUAUUUCUUAAGGCUUUUAUCACACCAUAGCUACUAGAGACUCUCACAUUACAUAACUACAUUUAAGUAUUCCAUAUGGAAUGCAAAAGACUCCACAAAAUAUAACUUUAAGCUGUAGAAAAGUUCGACUGCUGUAGGACCUAGACUACAUAAUGUAUAAAAAUAAAUCUAAAUGAAGAAAUGUCGUGAAAACCAGAAAGGUGCACUUACUGCAACUUUGACAAAUUAAAUCAAGGCAUUUGAAAAUUAAUAUCCUUUACAGAUGUUAUUUUCCAUUGAACUCACUAAAUGACUGAAGCUUGUUUUCACAUUUGUGACAUUUCACUUGCUUACGGUAACAGCAAAUUCUCAUUGAUUUAACACAAAGCAGUUUGAUACACAGUGUAAAAGCAACAAAAUGCUAAAAUAAUCAUUCAGGUGAUUAAAAACUACAAAAAUACAAAGACCCAAUAUUUCUCAGUGCUACCCUGAAGUGCUGUCAUUAGAACAAAAUAAAAUUGUACUGUAACUCAUCAGUAAAACAAUGGACUUGCGAUAGGAUACAUCGCUUCAGCACAAUCACAAAUACUAUUAUUGCACAUAGAAAUGAGCUUCAAAAGGCAAAAAGAUAUAAAUGAAACAAUAUAUAAAUAUAAAAGGGAGCACCAACAAGACAGGUACCAUAUACAUCCAGGAGUCAGCCCUCUUCAUUAAAGCAUAUACAACUUUAAAUAUUAUUAUUAAUAAUAAUUCAUAAAUAAGCUGAGAAAUUUCCCCUGAAGCCUAAUACAAUUAAAAAAAUAAUAAAAAAAAAAAAGACUAAAACGCACAAGCUUUGACUCAUCACUACCGACAGAGAAUUUUUGCAUCCAAGCGUCAGAUAACAGUUUGACAUAACCAAAAGUAGGGCACAUUAGGCUACUUUUCAUUAAGCCUGAUCUAUACUUUCCAGCUACACCAAUGUAACUUAAGAGUUUGUACUAAAAGAAAAGUAUUAACAACAAAAAUCACUGCUUUUGAUUCAAAUUGUAUUCCAUAGCCAAGCUGACAAUGCAGUUCAGAAAAUCAAGUGAAAUUAAAAACCUAUCCAGACAAUCCAUGUGAAAUGCAAUAUUUAUACAAGAACAAGUGUGUAAGAAAUUAGAGCAAGUGUUAUUCCUAAUUAUUCUAAUCAGCUAGCUGUGAUUUAAGAGUAAAAUAAAACAAAAUCCUUCAAUUCAGUAUGCACUGCUUCGUAGAAAAAAAAAAAAAACACUUUCCAUCCAGGACAUAAGACAGAACCACUUUGCACUAAUUUCAGCACAUAUGCAGUGUGAACUGUUUACUGCCUCCAAAGUUCAGUAACGACUAAGAUGCAAUCAGUUAUGAGUAAACACAGCUUUCACAAGAACAGACGAAUAGUUUUCACAUAUGUUAAUUACUGGUGGCUAAAAUACAUAAAUUUCAUAAGACCCACCAAUAUAAUUUUACUGAUCCCCAAGUACCAAUGGAGUACACUACACUGAAACAAACUGAUAAGUAUCGGAGGAGAAAACCUCUGGGACAUCUCAAAUACUUUGUCAUAAAUAUAGCUUUACAACAAUUUUUAGCAAUGAGCAAAACAAGUUAUAAAAUGUCAGUAUCAUUUUACAGUACAGGCAACGUAUACAAAUAAAUGGAUUGGUUCAAUAAUUGAA